AGAAAGAAAAGGUGGUAGUUCUUCUUCCAUCUUCUUCCUUCUUCUUUCUUUCUUCUUCUUCUUCUUCAAAGAAAAAAAAAUAAAAGAGAAAACUGAAUUUUCAAGUGGAAUUUGGAGGUUUAGAAUCCAUUUUUGAUCUUAAUCUUCAUCUACAAAGGCUCUAGAGGUUUAUUUGCUAAACCAAUUUGAAAUGAGGGUGACACCCAAGUAAGCUCAAGCAAAGGGAAGGGAGCAACAAAGGAUUAGAAGAAUUAUAAUUGGUUUUGACGAAACAUUUACAUCUGUCGCACUAGCAUUGUGUCGGGUAGGUCAGCAGGAGGUCGCCCUCAGUUUUUCUUUCUUGGACGUGACAUGUCAAGUGGAUUUCAUUAUCAUGUAUAAAUCUGAAGCAUUUUAUGUGUAUAUAAAAAAAAAGUGUACUAUUUAAUGUUGUGAGCUUUUUGGUGUGUGAUAUGUAUGACUCAUAUAAAUAGUUUUUGU